rnacentral:rRNA from 1 species
UACAGGGGGGGCAAGCGUUGUUCGGAAUUACUGGGCGUAAAGGGCUCGUAGGCGGCCGGCUAAGUCCGACGUGAAAUCCCCAGGCUUAACCUGGGAACUGCGUCGGAUACUGGCGGGCUUGAAUCCGGGAGAGGGAUGCGGAAUUCCAGGUGUAGCGGUGAAAUGCGUAGAUAUGACAUAGAACACCGAUAGCGAAGGCAGCUUGCUACACAAUCAUUGACACUGAGGCACGAAAGCGUGGGGAUCAAACAGG